GAUGAACGCUGGCGGCGUGCCUAAUACAUGCAAGUCGAGCGAACAGAUGAGGAGCUUGCUCCUCUGACGUUAGCGGCGGACGGGUGAGUAACACGUGGAUAACCUACCUAUAAGACUGGGAUAACUUCGGGAAACCGGAGCUAAUACCGGAUAAUAUAUUGAACCGCAUGGUUCAAUAGUGAAAGACGGUUUUGCUGUCACUUAUAGAUGGAUCCGCGCCGCAUUAGCUAGUUGGUAAGGUAACGGCUUACCAAGGCAACGAUGCGUAGCCGACCUGAGAGGAUGAUCGGCCACACUGGAGCUGAGACACGGUCCAGACUCCUACGGGAGGCAGCAGUAGGGAAUCUUCCGGAUGGGGCGAAAGCCUGACGGAGCAACGCCGCGUGAGUGAUGAAGGUCUUCGGAUCGUAAAACUCUGUUAUUAGGGAAGAACAAAUGUGUAAGUAACGAUGCACGUCUUGACGGUACCUAAUCAGAAAGCCACGGCUAACUACGG
rnacentral:rRNA from 1 species